rnacentral:rRNA from 1 species
GUGGAUUAGAUACCCUGGUAGUCCACGCCGUAAACGUUGGGCACUAGGUGUGGGGUCUAUUCAACGGAUUCCGUGCCGUAGCUAACGCAUUAAGUGCCCCGCCUGGGGAGUACGGCCGCAAGGCUAAAACUCAAAGGAAUUGACGGGGGCCCGCACAAGCAGCGGAGCAUGUUGCUUAAUUCGAGGCAACGCGAAGAACCUUACCUGGGCUUGACAUGUAGAGAAAAGCCGUAGAGAUACGGUGUCCUUCGGGGCUCUACACAGGUGGUGCACGGCCGUCGACAGCU